rnacentral:rRNA from 1 species
AAUCAACGCUGGCGGCGUGCCUAACACAUGCAAGUCGAGCGAGAAAGUGUAGCAAUACAUGAGUACAGCGGCGCACGGGUGAGUAACACGUGGAUAACCUGCCUCAAAGUGGGGGAUAACACCGGGAAACCGGUGCUAAUACCGCAUAUUCUGACGAGAUCUGAGGGUUUUGUCAGGAAAGGAGCAAUUCGCUAUGAGAGGGGUCCGCGGCUGANAGCUAGUUGGUGAGGUAAUGGCGUCACCAAGGCAUCGAUCAGUAGCCGGUCUGAGAGGACGGUC